rnacentral:tRNA from 1 species
GGAAGCUUAGCUCAGUUGGUUCAGAGCACUUGCCUUACAAGCAAGGGGUCACUGGUUCGAGCCCAGUAGUUUCCA